GCGUGGGUGAAGAAGGUCUUCGGAUUGUAAAGCCCUUUCGACGGGGACGAUGAUGACGGUACCCGUAGAAGAAGCCCCGGCUAACUUCGUGCCAGCAGCCGCGGUAAUACGAAGGGGGCUAGCGUUGCUCGGAAUGACUGGGCGUAAAGGGCGCGUAGGCGGAUUGUACAGUCAGAUGUGAAAUUCCCGGGCUCAACCUGGGGGCUGCAUUUGAUACGUAUGAUCUAGAGUCCGGAAGAGGGUGGUGGAAUUCCCAGUGUAGAGGUGAAAUUCGU
rnacentral:rRNA from 1 species